rnacentral:rRNA from 1 species
AACGAACGCUGGCGGCAGGCCUAACACAUGCAAGUCGAGCGCGCCCUUCGGGGUGAGCGGCGGACGGGUGAGUAACGCGUGGGAACGUGCCCUUCUCUGCGGAAUAGCCUCGGGAAACUGAGAGUAAUACCGCAUACGCCCUUUGGGGGAAAGAUUUAUCGGAGAAGGAUCGGCCCGCGUUGGAUUAGGUAGUUGGUGGGGUAAUGGCCCACCAAGCCGACGAUCCUUAGCUGGUUUGAGAGGAUGAUCAGCCACACUGGGACUGAGACACGGCCCAGACUCCUACGGGAGGCAGCAGUGGGGAAUCUUAGACAAUGGGGGCAACCCUGAUCUAGCCAUGCCGCGUGAGUGAUGAAGGCCUUAGGGUUGUAAAGCUCUUUCAGCUGGGAAGAUAAUGACGGUACCAGCAGAAGAAGCCCCGGCUAACUCCGUG